rfam:Acetobacter tropicalis NBRC 101654 DNA, contig: 0107.
GGAGAGAUGGCCGAGCGGCUUAAGGCGCACGCUUGGAAAGCGUGUGUACGUUAAUAGCGUACCGAGGGUUCGAAUCCCUCUCUCUCCG